rnacentral:rRNA from 1 species
AGUGGCGGACGGGUGAGUAACGCGUGAGAAUCUGCCUUGGGGUCGGGGACAACCACUGGAAACGGUGGCUAAUACCGGAUAAGCCGAUUGGUGAAAGAUUUAUUGCCCGAAGAGGAGCUCGCGUCUGAUUAGCUAGUUGGUGAGGUAAGAGCUCACCAAGGCAGCGAUCAGUAGCUGGUCUGAGAGGACGAUCAGCCACACUGGGACUGAGACACGGCCCAGACUCCUACGGGAGGCAGCAGUGGGGAAUUUUCCGCAAUGGGCGAAAGCCUGACGGAGCAAGACCGCGUGAGGGAGGAAGGCUCUUGGGUUGUAAACCUCUUUUCUCAGGGAAGAAGCUCUGACGGUACCUGAGGAAUCAGCCUCGGCUAACUCCGUGCCAGCAGCCGCGGUAAUACGGAGGAGGCAAGCGUUAUCCGGAAUUAUUGGGCGUAAAGCGUCCGCAGGUGGCGAUUCAAGUCUGCUGUCAAAGCACGGGGCUUAACUCCGUAAAGGCAGUGGAAACUGAAUAGCUAGAGUGCCGUAGGGUUAGAGGGAAUUCCCGGUGUAGCGGUGAAAUGCGUAGAGAUCGGGAAGAACAUCGGUGGCGAAAGCGCUCUACUGGACGGCAACUGACACUCAGGGACGAAAGCUAGGGGAGCGAAUGGGAUUAGAUACCCC